rnacentral:rRNA from 1 species
UACUUAGUGGCGGACGGGUGAGUAAUGCUUAGGAAUCUGCCUAGUAGUGGGGGAUAACUUGGGGAAACCCAAGCUAAUACCACAUACGACCUACGGGUGAAAGGGGGCUUUUAGCUCUCGCUAUUAGAUGAGCCUAAGUCGGAUUAGCUGGUUGGUGGGGUAAAGGCCUACCAAGGCGACGAUCUGUAGCUGGUCUGAGAGGAUGAUCAGCCACACUGGGACUGAGACACGGCCCAG